GUCGGGCACGCAUGUGACGGGUCCUGCUCCACGAUUCAGUGGCAUGCCUUGAAGUACAGGUUACUCCACAGAAAUCAUGCACAUAGUGACCCCCUGUCGGCAGAUCAUGAAAAGUGUUGUCUAGCUUCUCUCCCAACUCUGACUCUCCUGGAUAAGGUCGAGUGGCUUCUUUUAUCUAUGAGCUGGGGCAAUACCAGUGCUUGGGCAUAGCAUGCUGGAAACACUUCUGGGUUAAACUGAAGUCCCGGAAAGUAGGGAUUGUUGUUGCAAAACCUCCACCUACCAUUGGGUUUUGGGAGCAACAGGAUUGGACUGGACCAUGGGCUGUGGCUGGCCUCUAUUACACUGAGUUCCAGCAUGCACCAUAUCUCCAAGUCUACAUCUAUCAUUUAUGCCUCCGGGAGAUAAUAAGAUAAGUCAUGGACAGUCAACCUUGGAUUGAUGACGAUGACAUGGUCAUAAAAGGUCCCUGGGCAUCCUUCACAGCACAGUUAGACCCUGUUUGGGAUCAACCAACCAACCAACCAAGUGCCCCAGUCCCAGCCACAGAGAAGCACCCCCACAACAAGAUGCAACCACCUCCA